AAAUCUAUAUUAAAGAAAAGGAGGAAGACAACCAAAAGGCAGGGUACAACCAAAUUAGCGAGAAGCUAAAGGCACCACACCAUUUUUAUAAAAAAUAAAUGGACCAAAAAGAUGGACCACAAAUUAAGUUUUCCAUUCCUUCUAUAUAUCUCAUACCAUUUCGUUUUGACAUUUGUUGAACUGAAAUAUUCGUCAAUAUUGAAAUAUGAUUAUAGUAAUAUAGGCUUCAUUGUUAUCUACUAUAAAAUAAGGAGUUUGGUUGGCUGCACAUCUUUUGGCUUUCUAGUUUUGCCUCAAGUCGACCUGAUUGUUGGAGCUAACUUCUUUUGUAUUUGGGUCCAUUGCGUGCUACUCCCUCCUUCCCACAAACACUGUUAUGGAGUUUUUCAAUGCCCCAAUUCAUUUGUUUGUUGCAGUAUUAAAUGCUUAUAUUUUUUUCUUUCCUAUACUACCUUAGCAUGUCUUGUACCUCAAAUAUGUUAUUUAUUUUCAUGGCUAUUCCUUUUAUUUGUUGGAAAGGGAAUGCUGGGAAUUUUAUUUUUUUAAGGGGAGUGGGGAGAUGAAGGCAGGAUUCGGUUCCAGGCCUGGGAAUAACAACCCACAGGCUUUUCCAGUGGCCUGGGGAUAACAAUCCAUAGGCUUUACCAGUGCUAUGUAAAGGCAUUUGUAAAUUAAAAACAGUCAUUAUGAAGGCAACAGUGCUGCAAGCCUUUUCAUUGAAUGCAACAGUUUCUUGACUCCAAGGUUCUAUAAAUUAACCAUGUUUCUGAUGAUUUUAGGACUUUGAAGAGCUUGUCAAAGACCAUUUCAGGAGGCGUGGCUCUUACGUACUUAGAGCAUGUGAUGCCUAUAAAAAUGGAUACUUAAUUGGUUCUCUGUCAAAGGAUGCUUCCAUAUGUUACAAGAGCGAAGCAAAUUCAACGUCUGUUGGUUUCAAGCUGGUAUUGGCUAAGAUACUCCCUGAUCUAAUUCUUGCGCUGAGAAAAGUUGGAGCUGACUGUCAUGAAUUCAAGCACCUGGAAAAGUCAUAGUGGAGAUAUAUUCAAAAAAGGGCUGACCCCCCAAGCUUUCUUUCUUCAAGUAAAGGAUGUCAGCUGUUCUAAUUUAUGGUGUUGCUAUUUUUCAUGGUGGGAGAUGAGGGCUAACCUCCUACAAUCUGAUUCUUCAAGUAAAGGAGGAACUUCCCAGUGUACAGUUUUUGCUGAUAUUUAAAUGUUGGAUCUAUAUAAUUCAUGACAGAGACAUCCUCUGUCAUGUUUGAGAGCUUGUCUGAACCAUAGUCUCUUUCAUUCUUUAUUUUUAGCAGAUGGAGUUCUUUGGAGCGAAGUUACAGGGUCUCCUCUGUGUCAGUGACAUGUUUACCUCUGCAAAUGUUGCAGAGAUUUGCUCCACAUGGUCGUGGAUCAGCCUUUACUUGUAGUAGACACAUUCAAAUUGAUUUGGUAUAAUGAUAGGAAAUUAAUUUGUGACAUACAAGAAUAAGAUUUCUUUUGAGGUGCACUUACAAUAUUGAUGAAUAAAUUUCCAUUAAAGAAA